ensembl:lncRNA
UUAAAAUGUCCUCAUGUUUUUUUUUUUAUAUCCGCUGUUUGGACUCUAAUUCUGAUGGCACCCAUUCCCUGCAGAGCAUCCAAUGAUGAGCAAGGAUGCAAUGCUAUGUUUCUCCAAAUCUGAUGAAGAAACAAACUCAUCCUAAUCUUGGAAUGCCUGCAGGAUUCCAGUAUUUUGGUCCAAAGUUUUUCCUGCAUCUGCAGUUUACCGCAUCUGAACAGGAACCAGAUACUUCAUCCCUCUCGGCGCAAACACACACAAGAUCGAUCGACGUGGCGACGCCACAUGCCAUCCUGCGCUGGAAGAGGCGUCUCACACACACUGGAUGAGGUUUGUGAAAUAUUCAUAAAAUGAAACUCAGAGGAAGAGAAACUCAUCAGCGUCUGUGACAGAAUCAAAGCCCCUGAACACAAACGCACGAGCAGACGCCAUUACCAGACCAUCACAGGGGGGAAAUAACAUCACUUCCCUCUCAGACGAACAGACUAAUGACAUGCAGAUUUGAGACACUCGGAGAGGGUCUAUUGAUGCGUGUGUGCGGUCAUUGAGGGGAGAUAAUUGCCAGCGUAGCAUUAGCACUCUUAUCCUGCAGACGGCUCAGAGAGAGAGACAUAGUGAGACACAGAGAGAGAGAGAGAGGUUCACAUCGCCAUUAGCCCAGGCAAAGUGUAAUAGACAACAAUUAGGAUCCCUAUUUCCUGUUGUUUCCUGUUGGCCCAGCAAACUGUGGCAGAUGUCCGCUUGAUACCUGGAUAAAUAAUUCACUGCGAGAGAAGCCUGCUGUCUCGUCUUAUAAAGGAAGUGCAUUUUUCAGACUUAAGUGCAGCUUUAGAGUGAAGACGAUCCCGAACGGCUCGCAGGAAAGACGCCGGUGCUUGUAACUGUGGACUCUGUCUGAGGACAGAAACACGAAUGAACUGGUAAAAGCCUGUGAAAGCGAAACUAGCCCAUAUCUGUUAGCUCUGAGAUCACCUGUAUAUGCUAGGCCAGGGGUUCACAAACAUUGCAGCAACUUUGAACCUUUCAGAACCUCAAAAUCUGAGAGUGGAAAAUAGAAAUACAGACAUUUGUAAAAUUAGCAUUUUACAUUUACAUUUAAUCAUUUAGCAGAUGCUUUUAUCCAACGCA